rnacentral:rRNA from 1 species
AACGAACGCUGGCGGCAGGCUUAACACAUGCAAGUCGAGCGCCCCGCAAGGGGAGCGGCAGACGGGUGAGUAACGCGUGAGAAUCUACCCAUCUCUACGGAAUAACGCAUGGAAACGUGUGCUAAUACCGUAUACGUCCUUCGGGAGAAAGAUUUAUCGGAGAUGGAUGAGCCCGCGUUGGAUUAGCUAGUUGGUGGGGUAAAGGCCUACCAAGGCGACGAUCCAUAGCUGGUCUGAGAGGAUGAUCAGCCACACUGGGACUGAGACACGGCCCAGACUCCUACGGGAGGCAGCAGUGGGGAAUAUUGGACGAUGGGCGCAAGCCUGAUCCAGCCAUGCCGCGUGAGUGAUGAAGGCCCUAGGGUUGUAAAGCUCUUUCACCGGUGAAGAUAAUGACGGUAACCGGAGAAGAAGCCCCGGCUAACUUCGUGCCAGCAGCCGCGGUAAGAC